AGAAUCAACGCUGGCGGCGUGCCUAACACAUGCAAGUCGAACGAGAAAGUGGAGCAAUCCAUGAGUAAAGUGGCGCACGGGUGAGUAACACGUGACUAACCUACCCUCGAGUGGGGAAUAACUUCGGGAAACCGAGGCUAAUACCGCAUAAAACCUAAGGGUCAAAGGAGCAAUCCGUUUGAGGAGGGGGUCGCGGCAGAUUAGUUAGUUGGCGGGGUAAUGGCCCACCAAGACGAUGAUCUGUAUCCGGCCUGAGAGGGCGCACGGACACACUGGAACUGAAACACGGUCCAGACUCCUACGGGAGGCAGCAGUGGGGAAUUUUGCGCAAUGGGGGAAACCCUGACGCAGCAACGCCGCGUGGAGGAUGAAAUCCCUUGGGAUGUAAACUCUUUCGAUCGGGAAGAUAAUGACGGUACCGGAAGAAGAAGCCCGGCUAACUUCGCGCCAGCAGCCGC
rnacentral:rRNA from 1 species